rnacentral:lncRNA from 1 species
CGAGUGAGUUUCAUCUAAUCUAUUGAUAACCUGUAUAGAACAAAAAACUGAGCAAGAGAUAACGUUGCCUGCCUGCCUGCCUACUUGAGACAUUAGUCUUCUGCCUUCAGAUUGGAAUUUAUAUUAAUACCAUCUACUCCUUGGUUCUCAGUCCUUCUGACAUGAACUGGAACAACACCAUCAGCUCUCCCGGAUCUCCAGCUUGCAGACAGCAGAUCAUGGGACUUUUCAGCUUCUGUAAUUGUGAGGUGGUUGAGAACCAUUGACGUAGACUGACUUAGCAGAUCUUCAAAUGUGAAUAGGGAAUCCUGCCAUUCCACUGAUGAGAACAGCAUGCUUAGGAUAUUGCUUCUGAGAAGAGAGGCAUCCUGUUGUAUGUAGUGGCCACAUAACAGACUGCAAAGAACUGGAACGCAGAGUAAUUUUAAUCCAAAAUGUUCAAAGGAUGAACAAAACUGCAAUAAAGCAGAGUAAGUAAACACAAAGAGUGGCCAAGAUGGCCAACUAAAAGCAGAUAGGAUGCGUGGCUCUCACAGAGAGGAAAGGAAGGAAGGGGCAAGUAAAUACAGCACUGCCAACUGACACAUCCAGACAGUCAACACUGGGACUAAUCAAGGAAACAACUCGACCCACAGAGAAUGGAGAAGAGCAAGGCAGGACGACGGCCCAUCUGGGAGCAGAAUGUGGAGCCAAGGGAACCUCCCUUGCCAAGAGAUGAAUGAAAUGAUAGGAUAGAAGCCUGGCGGAUAUCUGGACAGAACUAUGCAAGAGCCUUCCUGAGAAUGGAAGCCACAGGAGGGAAAACGGAACUUGGGAAAGGAAAGAGUAAAGUGGAAUUUCAAUGACAUCAUUUAAAUGCCUGGAUCCAAAAGUGUCUGGACAUUCAAUAUCAAAAUAUUUGCUUCUCACAUCAUAUUUCAGUGAUGUGAGCCAAAUGUUACCUUCCACCACCCUUUUAAGAGUCCACUUGAUUUCAGUGUUCCUUCACUUGCAACCAGAGUUCUCACUGAUAAGUGUCUAUAUGGUGGUUCAUUCCUCCCUCAGUGGUAUAUGACAAUGAAACAAGAAGGUAUGGCAGGUUAAAAGUCAUAGGGUACCACAACAUUACACACUGAGCCACAAAAGCAGCUCAAAGCCAUGGUUUGUGGGGCUCCACCUCUUGCUCUCUGGAAGGCAUUAAUACAUGGUGGGAGAAAAUUAUAAGAUCUAUAUUGUCACAGAACUUUUCACAUAAUUAUAUUGUUAUUUUAUAUUCAUUUGCUCCUGGGCUUCAUCAAAUGGAGAAUUUCUUAUCUCUGUAUCCUCAAGGUUCAACACACUACCUGGCACAAGCUAGGUACAUAAUAAAUGUUCAAGUAAAAGAAUAAAUGAUUCAUUUCUUAGUAAAAGCGUUGCCUAGCAUGGUAUAAA